UGAGCAAUCUGCCCUUCUCAUCGGAAUAAGCGUUGGAAACGACGUCUAAUGCCGAAUACGACCUCCUUUCGCAUGAUCGGAGGUGGAAAGCUCCGGCGGAGAAGGAUGAGCUCGCGGCCUAUCAGCUAGUUGGUGUGGGUAAUGGCCCACCAAGGCGACGACGGGUAGCCGGCCUGAGAGGGUGACCGGCCACACGUGGGACUGAGACACGGCCCAGACUCCGUACGGGAGCAG
rnacentral:rRNA from 1 species